rnacentral:rRNA from 1 species
AGAAUCAACGCUGGCGGCGUGCCUAACACAUGCAAGUCGAACGAGAAAGGGGUAGCAAUACCCUGAGUAAAGUGGCGCACGGGUGAGUAACACGUGACUAACCUACCCUUGAGUGGGGGAUAACUGAGGGAAACCUUAGCUAAUACCGCAUAAUACCCACGGGUCAAAGGAGCAAUUCGCUCGAGGAGGGGGUCGCGGCCGAUUAGUUAGUUGGCGGGGUAAUGGCCCACCAAGACGAUGAUCGGUAUCCGGCCUGAGAGGGCGCACGGACACACUGGAACUGAAACACGGUCCAGACUCCUACGGGAGGCAGCAGUGGGGAAUUUUGCGCAAUGGGGGAAACCCUGACGCAGCAACGCCGCGUGGAGGAUGAAGUCCUUCGGGACGUAAACUCCUUUCGAUCGGGACGAUUAUGACGGUACCGGAAGAAGAAGCCCCGGCUAACUUCGUGCCAGCAGCCGC